rnacentral:rRNA from 1 species
UACGUAGGGACCAAGCGUUGUUCGGAUUUACUGGGCGUAAAGGGAGCGUAGGCGGCGCGUCAAGUCAGCUGUGAAAUCUUAAGGCUUAACCUUAAGCGGUCAGCUGAUACUGUCGUGCUAGAGUACAGAAGGGGCAAUCGGAAUUCUUGGUGUAGCGGUGAAAUGCGUAGAUAUCAAGAGGAACACCUGAGGCGAAGGCGGAUUGCUGGGCUGAUACUGACGCUGAGGCUCGAAAGCUAGGGUAGCAAACGGG